GACGAACGCUGGCGGCGUGCUUAACACAUGCAAGUCGAACGGUGAAGGGGUCUGCUUUUGUGGGCCCUGGAUGAGUGGCGAACGGGUGAGUAACACGUGAGUAACCUGCCCCCUUCUUCUGGAUAACCGCAUGAAAGUGUGGCUAAUACGGGAUAUUCUGGGUCUGUCGCAUGAUGGGUCUGGGAAAGAUUGCGCCUUUGGGUGUUUUUGGUGGGGGAUGGGCUCGCGGCCUAUCAGCUUGUUGGUGGGGGGAUGGCCUACCAAGGCGGUGACGGGUAGCCGGCCUGAGAGGGUGGACGGUCACACUGGGACUGAGACACGGCCCAGACUCCUACGGGAGGCAGCAGUGGGGAAUAUUGCACAAUGGGCGCAAGCCUGAUGCAGCGACGCCGCGUGAGGGAUGGAGGCCUUCGGGUUGUAAACCUCUUUCGCCAGUGAAGCAGGCCUGCUCCUUGUGGGUGGGUUGACGGUAGCUGGAGAAGAAGCGCCGGCUAACUACGUG
rnacentral:rRNA from 1 species